GUGCUCGCUUCGCAGCACAAUAUACGAAAUGGAAGAUACAAAAGAGUAGCAUGGCCCCUGCACGAGGAUGACACGCAAAUUCGUGAAGUUUUCCAUAUUUUU
ensembl:snRNA U6 U6 spliceosomal RNA